CUUGCUUGCCUCUUCCUUGCCUUCUGCUUGUUGCUCGCAUCCUCCUCCGAUCCUUGCCUCCUACUCACAUCCUCUCGGCCUCUCUAUCUCCUCCUUGCCUCACCACCUCCUCCUUGUAUCCUCAGCCUUCUUGCAUUCUCCUAGUCUCUCAGCCUCCUUUUUGUGUCAUCCCUACCUCUCAGCCUCCUAAUCUUCUCCUUAUCUGCUCGCCACCUUGCGGCCUCCUUGCCUCCUCCUCACAUCAUGUUAGUGAAGCCUACAGUCCAGCCUAAAAGCUUGAAACAUGGUAUGGAGUGAGCUUUAGCCUAGGAAGGAGGCCUAAAGGCUGAACCAAGUAGGCUUGGGCUUGGAAAAAUGCUAUAAUACGUCGGGCUGAGGUUGGUCUAGUCCGUCUGAUAAGCUGCCCUAGAUUGUAUUU
rnacentral:lncRNA from 1 species